CCUACGGGGGGCUGCAGUCGAGAAUCUUUCACAAUGGGCGAAAGCCUGAUGGAGCGACGCCGCGUGGAGGUUAAGGUCUUCGGAUUGUAAACUCCUGUCAUGCGAGAACAAAGCCCUUACGGGUGUGAUAGUAUCGCAAGAGGAAGAGACGGCUAACUCUGUGCCAGCAGCCGCGGUAAUACAGAGGUCUCAAGCGUUGUUCGGAAUUACUGGGCGUAAAGGGUGCGCAGGCUGCGUGGAAAGUCAGAUGUGCAAUUAAGGGGCUCACCCUCUGGACUGCAUCCGAGACUACAACGCUAGAGUCAUGGAGGGGGAUCUGGAAUUCUCGGUGUAGCAGUGAAAUGCGUAGAUAUCGAGAGGAACACCAACGGCGAAGGCAAGAUCCUGGACAUGUACUGACGCUCAUGCACGAAGGCUUGGGUAGCAAACGGGAUUAGAUACCCCGGUAGUCGU
rnacentral:rRNA from 1 species